AAUCAACGCUGGCGGCGUGCCUCAGACAUGCAAGUCGAACGAUUAAACUUUCCUUCGGGAAAGAUAUAAAGUGGCGCACGGGUGAGUAACACGUAGGUAAUCUACCUCUGAGUGGGGAAUAACAAUCGGAAACGAUUGCUAAUACCGCAUAAUGCAGCGGCACCGCAAGGUGACAGUUGUUAAAGGAGCAAUCCGCUUAAAGAGGAGCCUGCGGCAGAUUAGCUAGNGGUAAGUAAUGCUUACCAGGCUACGAUCUGUAACCGACCUGAGAGGGUGGUCGGUCACACUGACACUGAAUAACGGGUCAGACU
rnacentral:rRNA from 1 species